rnacentral:rRNA from 1 species
GGCGGCGUGCUUAACACAUGCAAGUCGAACGGAGUUUUAACGGAAGUUUCGGAUGGAAGUUAGAAACUAGUGGCGGACGGGUGAGUAACGCGUGGGUAACCUGCCUCAGUACAGGGGGGAUAACAGUUAGAAAUGACUGCUAACACCGCAUAAUAUAGCGAAACCGCAUGAUUUUUGCUAUCAAAUAUUUAUAGGGUAUGAGAUGGGGCCCGCGUCUGAUUAGCUAGUUGGUGGGGUAAAAGCCUACCAAGGCGACGAUCAGUAGCCGGCUUGAGAGAGUGACCGGCCACAUUGGGACUGAGACACGGCCCAAACUCCUACGGGAGGCAGCAGUGGGGAAUAUUGGACAAUGGGGGAAACCCUGAUCCAGCCGACGCCGCGUGAGUGAAGAAGUAUUUCGGUAUGUAAAGCUCUAUCAGCAGGGAAGAUAAUGACAGUACCUGACUAAGAAGCCCCGGCUAACUACGUGCCAGCCGCCGC